rnacentral:rRNA from 1 species
GACGAACGCUGGCGGCGUGCUUAACACAUGCAAGUCGAGCGGUAAGGCCCUUCGGGGUACACGAGCGGCGAACGGGUGAGUAACACGUGAGCAAUCUGCCCUUCACUCUGGGAUAACCCCCGGAAACGGGAGCUAAUACCGGAUACGACCACUUCGGACAUCCGAUGGUGGUGGAAAGUUCCGGCGGUGAAGGAUGAGCUCGCGGCCUAUCAGCUUGUUGGUGGGGUAACGGCCCACCAAGGCUUCGACGGGUAGCCGGCCUGAGAGGGUGACCGGCCACACUGGGACUGAGACACGGCCCAGACUCCUACGGGAGGCAGCAGUGGGGAAUAUUGGACAAUGGGCGAAAGCCUGAUCCAGCAACGCCGCGUGAGGGAUGACGGCCUUCGGGUUGUAAACCUCUUUCAGCGCAGACGAAGCGAAGGUGACGGUAUGCGCAGAAGAAGCACCGGCCAACUACGUGCCAGCAGCCGCAGUAA